rnacentral:rRNA from 1 species
UACGGAGGAUGCGAGCGUUAUCCGGAUUUAUUGGGUUUAAAGGGUGCGCAGGCGGACACUCAAGUCAGCGGUAAAAUUGCGGGGCUCAACCCCGUCGAGCCGUUGAUACUGGGUGUCUUGAGUACAGUAGAGGCAGGCGGAAUUCGUGGUGUAGCGGUGAAAUGCUUAGAUAUCACGAAGAACUCCGAUUGCGAAGGCAGCUCACUAGACUGCAACUGACGCUGAAGCACGAAAGCGUGGGUAUCGAA